AAAUGGGUUAUCUCAAAGAAGAUAUUUUUAGCUUAGAACCUCUUUUUUUUUUUCCAAGGUAGUCCCAUAAAAUUCAAAGAUAAGAUUUAUGGCAUUAUACAGAAAAUACCUACUGAAAGAAACAACCUCUACGCUAUUGUGGAACUAUGCAAAUACUCCUCACCAGAUAAACUCUAGCAACCAGCCUCAUGAAGAAAUCUGAUAUACAGCCACUCACUGAAGAGCAGGCUGCUGUGGAGGAAAGCUGAGAUGGUGUUUUUCCUGAAUCUGUUGUGUUCUUCUGCAGUGGCAACCAUCUAUUUCAAAAAAUCGGCUCAGCUACCUUUGGCUUUAUACCUGCUUUUCAGAUGCUUGUCCACAAUCCCAUUCCUUCCUCUAUGCUAGGUCCCAUGUCCCUUGGUACUGCUUCAGCAGCAAGCUGCGCUAAUCUUGGUUUAUGAGAGAGUCCAUCCAGCCUCAGAAGAAAUCUGACCAGUGGAAAGCCGAGAAGGAAAGUGCUGAUACUGUAAUGAGCUGUUCCUGUGGAGGUGAAUAGUAUUCCUUGUCCUCAAGGCACAGCAGAUGAAACAAGCUGCUCCUCUCUACAGCUGGGAAUUGCUGAAGGUUAAGCUUAUUAAAUUAGGAGACCUGCUGAGAAGGGAAUGAAGAGCUCUCCCAAAGGCAAAAAAUCAGAAAAAGGUUCUUGGGAGAAGAAAGCCAAGGGGAGGAGAGAAUGGUAAGCUACACCCUGCUCUGACAACAUCAGCGAACCACUGUCAGUGUCCUCUUCUAGGACUACGCUGUUGGCUGCGGGAGUCCCCACUCCAGGUACUGCACUGUACAAAAUAAAUAUUAUGUAUUGAAUAAAUGGUGGAAGUAC
rnacentral:lncRNA from 1 species